GACGAACGCUGGCGGCGUGCUUAACACAUGCAAGUCGAACGGAAAGGCCCUGCUUUUGUGGGGUGCUCGAGUGGCGAACGGGUGAGUAACACGUGAGUAACCUGCCCUUGACUUUGGGAUAACUUCAGGAAACUGGGGCUAAUACCGGAUAGGAGCUCCUGCUGCAUGGUGGGGGUUGGAAAGUUUCGGCGGUUGGGGAUGGACUCGCGGCUUAUCAGCUUGUUGGUGGGGUAGUGGCUUACCAAGGCUUUGACGGGUAGCCGGCCGGAGAGGGUGACCGGCCACAUUGGGACUGAGAUACGGCCCAGACUCCUACGGGAGGCAGCAGGGGGGAAUAUUGCACAAUGGGCGGAAGCCUGAUGCAGCAACGCCGCGUGCGGGAUGACGGCCUUCGGGUUGUAAACCGCUUUCGCCUGUGACGAAGCGUGAGUGACGGUAAUGGGUAAAGAAGCACCGGCUAACUACGUG
rnacentral:rRNA from 1 species